rnacentral:rRNA from 1 species
AACGAACGCUGGCGGCAUGCCUAACACAUGCAAGUCGAACGAGACCUUCGGGUCUAGUGGCGCACGGGUGCGUAACGCGUGGGAACCUGCCCUUAGGUUCGGAAUAACUCUCCGAAAGGGGUGCUAAUACCGGAUAAUGUCUUCGGACCAAAGAUUUAUCGCCUUUGGAUGGGCCCGAGUUGGAUUAGCUAGUUGGUAGGGUAAAAGCCUACCAAGGCGACGAUCCAUAGCUGGUCUGAGAGGAUGAUCAGCAACACUGGGACUGGGACACGGCCCAGACUCCUACGGAAGGCAGCAGUGCGGAAGAUGGAAAAUGGGCGAAAGCCUGAACCAGCAAUGACGGGUGAGUGAUGAAGGCCUUAGAGUUGUAAAGCUCUUUUACCCGGUAUGAUAAUGACAGUACCGGGAGAAUAAGCCCCGGCUAACUACGUG